rnacentral:rRNA from 2 species
GACGAACGCUGGCGGUGUGCUUAACACAUGCAAGUCGAACGGUAAGGCCCUUUCGGGGGUACACGAGUGGCGAACGGGUGAGUAACACGUGAGUAACCUGCCCUCAUCUCUGGGAUAACAGUCGGAAACGGUUGCUAAUACUGGAUAUGAGCUUGCAAGGCAUCUUGUGGGUUGGAAAGAUUUUUUGGUUGGGGAUGGACUCGCGGCCUAUCAGCUUGUUGGUGAGGUAGUGGCUCACCAAGGCUUCGACGGGUAGCCGGCCUGAGAGGGCGACCGGCCACAUUGGGACUGAGAUACGGCCCAGACUCCUACGGGAGGCAGCAGUGGGGAAUAUUGCACAAUGGACGGAAGUCUGAUGCAGCAACGCCGCGUGCGGGAUGACGGCCUUCGGGUUGUAAACCGCUUUCAAUUGUGACGAAGCUUUUUGUGACGGUAGCAGUAGAAG